rnacentral:rRNA from 1 species
ACCGGUAAACUGCGAAUGGCUCGGUAAAUCAGUUAUAGUUUAUUUGAUAGUGCAGCCUACUCGGAUAACCGUAGUAACACUAGAGCUAAUACGUGCGUAAAUCCCGACUUUUUGAAGGGACGUAUUUAUUAGAUUUAUGGCCAGCCGGGCUUGCCCGACCAGCGGUGAAUCAUGGUAACUUGACGGAUUGCAUGGCCUUUGUGCCGGCGACGUGUCAUUCAAGUUUCUGCCCCAUCAGGUUUCGACUGUAGUGUAUUGGACUACAGUGCCUAUAACGGGUAGCGGAGGAUUAGGGUUCGAUUCCGGAGAGGGAGCCUGAGAAACGGCUACCACAUCCAAGGAAGGCAGCAGGCGCGCAAAUUACCCAAUCCCAAUUCAGGGAGGUAGUGACAAGAAAUAGCAAUGCGGGGCUUACUGCUCUGCAAUUGGAAUGAGUACAAUUUAAAUCACUUAACGAGUAUCAAUUGGAGGGCAAGUCUGGUGCCAGCAGCCGCGGUAAUUCCAGCUCCAAUAGCGUAUAUGUAAGUUGUUGCGAUUAAAAAGCCCGUAGCUGAACCUCGGGCAGCCCUGAUGGUCCGCUUUUCGUGAGUACUGUCGUGGGCUGUCUUUCUGGCAAGACCGUAUUUCGGUGUUAACUCACCGGGAACGGCGCUUGCCAAGGUUACUUUGAGUAAAAUAAAGUGUUCAAAGCAAGCUCGCGCUAUGAAUACACUAGCAUGGGAUAACACGACAUGACCGAUGGUCUAUCUUGUUGGCCUGUAGAUCUGUUGGUAAUGGCUAAUAGGGACGGUCGGGGGCAUUCGUAUUUCGCUGUCAGAGGUGAAAUUCUUGGAUUUUCGAAAGACGAACUACUGCGAAAGCAUUUGCCAAGGACGCUUUCAUUAGUCAAGGACGAAAGUCGGGGGAUCGAAGACGAUUAGAUACCGUCGUAGUCUCGACCAUAAACGAUGCCAAUUAGGGAUUGGAGGGSGGAUUUCUUAUGCCUCCUCCAGCACCUUCCGCGAAAGCAAAAUUCGGAUUGGAAGCCUUUCCGUAAGGGAG